AAUGAUGAAGCACCAUGUUGAGAAACAUUAUAAUCUAUUUGCUUUUUUAAUCUUAUCUUUUGCAGAGACCCAAAUUAAGAAGGACUCGCAAAAUUGAAUCUCUCUGCAGACAAUUUUGAUGGCCCAAAUCUCUUAAAAAAAGAAUCGGAUAAAGAAGUCCAAUUAGAGUAUGCUUCUUUAAUAAAAGCAGACCCAUUGUCACUCUGACGAGAAGGCAUAGAAGUUGGCAAGAAAAUACCUUGUUGAUGAAUAAAGGAGUGCAAAGGCCCAACGGGAAAAGGCCCAACUAACUCUUUAUAAGAUUCAGCCUUCUAUCUCCUAGUCCCACCAGAAGUUUCAUUAAUAUCAACCUCAUUAAAAAGAAAUCCACUUACCACCAAAGACUUAUCACUUUCCAGAGACUUUAAAAACCCAUUUUUUGUAGAAGACUUAAGACUGACCUUCUCUGUAUGUUGGAAUUAUCCCCAAUUAAUCAUUCUCAAGAAAUUUCCCCAUCCACCAAAGGCUCAUUGUCCAAUAGCACCCAUUCCUUUCUUCGAGAAUCUAUAAUAAUUUGACGAUCAAGCUCCCUAUUUUGAGAAUAGUCAGGUAUCCGUAUAUUCCAUGCUGACUUUUGAACUGUCUCUUUGGCUGGACUUGCCGGAGAAAUGUGUCCAAUCACCCUCUGCAAAUUUCGAUCAUCAUUCUCAGGCCUUCGGAAAUACUUAGAAUUCAAAGAUUCUCCACGCUUGAAAACUAGAGGUUUAGGUCUUCUUGUUGGCAAGAGUUGUCUGAUUUUAACUCUAAAAGUGGGAUUUCCAUCAACAACAUUAACAAACUCUGGUAUGAGACCAGUAAAAUUAUGUUGAAUUUUUAACCUUGCUUCAAACAGAUAAACCAAAUUUUGCAGUUCUACGAUCA
rnacentral:lncRNA from 1 species